rnacentral:tRNA from 1 species
GCCCGACUACCUCAUCGGUAGAGCGCCUCACUAGUACUCUCCUUUAAAUGGAAACCAGAUCAAAAUGAGGAGGCAACAGGUUCGAUUCCUGUGUUGGGCA